UACGUAGGGUGCGAGCGUUGUCCGGAAUUAUUGGGCGUAAAGAGCUCGUAGGCGGCUUGUCGCGUCGGAUGUGAAAGCCCGGGGCUUAACCCCGGGUCUGCAUUCGAUACGGGCAGGCUAGAGUUCGGUAGGGGAGAUCGGAAUUCCUGGUGUAGCGGUGAAAUGCGCAGAUAUCAGGAGGAACACCGGUGGCGAAGGCGGGUCUCUGGGCCGAUACUGACGCUCAGGCGCGACAGCGUGGGGAGCAAACAGG
rnacentral:rRNA from 1 species